AAUAUAUAAACAAUAUACAGCCUUGACGUACUCUUUUCCCAAUUUUAAAUCAGUCCAUUCAAUGUUUGGUUCUAAUUUUUGUUUCUUGACCUGCAUACAGGUUUCUCAGGAAGCAGGGAAGGUGGUCUGGUAUUCCCACCUCUUGAAGAAUUUUCUGCAGUUUGUUGUGAUCCACACAGUCAAAGGCUUUAGCAUAGUCAAUGAAGCAGAAGUAGAAGAAGAUGGCUUUAAUUUAUAAUGAGUGGGCAGUUUUCACCAGGAGGUAGAGCAAACUAUUCCAAUAUUUGGCGGGUAUUCAGUUCUCAGACCUUGUGUGGAGGAAAAUGAGAUCCCGAGUGAAGUCUACAAUGUCAUUGACUCUGAAGAAGGACUCAGAGACCCAUUGGUGUUUAAUGACCCUUACUGGCCUAUGCAAUGGGAACUGGUUACUAAAUACCAAGCUCCUCCAUGCUAAGGUCAAGGAUUUCAGGAGACACAGGAUGGAAGUAGAUAGAAGACUAUUGAGGUGGGUCCAUCAUGCCAAAUGCUAGAGUACGUUCCAUUCCUUGGAAGAGAGAAGAGGUAAGGUGAAAGUUAUGUUAGUACCUCUAAGAAAGAGUUCAUGUUUAUGUUU
rnacentral:lncRNA from 1 species